rnacentral:lncRNA from 1 species
ACUGUAGCAGCCUGAGGCAGGGCUGGGCAGAAACCUCAGCACAUGUUUGUUGAAAGGUUUGCAGGUGGAUCAAGUCACCCAACUCACAGUCUCAUGUGUCUCGUCUAUUCUCCUGCAGACUCCUGUAGCCCCUAUGCCCAGGGCUCUUCUUGCUCCAGCUAGGGGCUCCUAAAGACAACAGGCCGUCCAGGAGACUUUGAGUUUAUGCCUUGGCCUGCUGGCCCUGGAGAUCCCAUCGUCGGCUUCGUCGAACUCAAAGUCGUCGCCCUACCCUGGCCCGUCGCGUCUUCCUGUGCCAUUUCCUGUUGUGCUCAGGUUCCACGAGCUGCCCAUCUCCAGAGAA